CGAGAUGGUGAGUCUUCUGUGGUCCCUCCCCCACAAGGCCCAAGUCCCUGGGCAGAGAGUGGGCCCAGAGGACAGCAGGCAGCACCUAGGACCUAAGCCUGGGAGUUGCCCCCUGCAGACAGCUUAGACCCACGACCAGCUCCCUUACCCCCACCCUGCGGCUGCAUCCUGGGAGGUGGGCACUCUUAGUGCCCUGUGACAUUCAUUCAUUCCAUGGCCCCUCAGGGAGCUCACCUUCUAGGAGACGGCACAGAGGCUCUGGCCCUGGCAAACUGGGAUUCGAGCCCAGGCAUGAGGCCCAGUCCUCUGCCGUCUGGGCCACAGCACACCAUCGCCCAACAACCAAGAGAUUCUCUUCGUCCCAGCCUCAUCAGCCCCCAGGGGAUGGGAGAGGGCAGGCACCAGGCAACAAGGUCCAAAGAGACCUCACAACUUGCUCAAGGUGGCCGAGCCUGUCCCCUGGAGGACAGACUCAGCUGCCAGGCCUGUCCAGGCCUGGGGACUGCAAAGAACAAGAAUUCCAUUCACACGAAGCCUCCCAGCAGCCCCAUAUUGGGGGGGCGCCAGCCUCAGAGAGGGGAGGGACGUUAGGUUUCAUCCAAAGAAAGCAUUUCCAUGACUCAAAAUAUCUGCAGGGGGGAUACUGUCUAGCCUUCUAAUGUUUAGCCCAGGGCUGGGCACACAGUAGGGCUUCAAGACCUACGUGGGGAUGACAGUGGAAUCACAUUUAGGUGUCAGCACACUCCAUGCCGGGUCAUGAGACAGAAAUAAGCCACCUCAGAGUGAUGGCUGGGUUCGUUCAUUCAUCUACUCUUCAGUCAACAAACACUUACUGAGAAGUGGCUGUGUGCCAGGCACGCUUUAGGUGCUGGGGUUGCCUCCAUGAACAAAACAAGCAGAAAACUCUGCUGCUGUGAAGCAAGCUAAGGCGGAGCCCAGCAUGGCAGGGGCGGGAGGGGCUGGCCGGCAAGACACUGCUUCCUGUCAUCCCCCCAGGGGCACCACACAGAACAGUUUACAAAGCACUCCCACGGUUGCGUUCCCAUUAACAAGCCUUCACCCCCAACACAAGCCUUUCCUCUCCUAGUCCCCGGGACGGUGUCAGCCCUGAACAUAGCCCAGGCUGGGAGAGUGGGGGGCUUACACCCUUGGGUGACUUAAUGUGCCCACUGGCCCACCCUGCCCAAGACCUACCACUUCUGCUCUCUCAGCUCUCCCUGGAUCCAUCGGGUCCCGAGUGGGAUUGCCCACUGGGUUCCAAGGACCUGGAGGAAGAGGGCCCCUGGGGAGGGGGCUCUGGCCUGCCGCCCACAGGCUGCUUCCCUGGCUCCUGGCGCCAGGACGUGGGCCUGGACUGCAAGGGAUCCCCCGAGGGGGCCGAGGCCCGGGCUUGGACUGUCUACUACUACAGCCUCCUGCAGAGCUGUCUGCAGCAAGCUGGCCUUCCGGAGACCCAGGACCGCAGCCAGGUGCCCCGCACAGGCUGUCCUGGGGCGGAGGUGACCUUGUGCGUUCUGGGCUCCCCCAGCACCUUUCUGCCUGUGCUGCUGGAGGGUGGGGUCCAGAGCCCGGGAAACAUGCUCCUUUGCCUGUCCCCUGCUUGGCUGAUGAAGGUGCCAGCACCCGGGCAGCCGGGUGAGGCAGCCCUGCUAGUCUCCAAGGCUGUGAGCUUCCACCCUGGGGGCCUGACAUUCCUGGAUGACUUUGUCCCCCCGCGCCGUGCCACCUACUUUUUGGCAGGCCUGGGCCUGGGGCCUGGCCGGGGCCGAGAGGCAGCAGAACUCGCCCGUGACCUGACCUGCCCCACAGGAGCUUCGGCUGAGCUGGCCCGGCUGCUGGAAGACCGGCUGCUGACAAGGCAGUUGCUGGCCCAGCAGGGUGGUGUGGCUGUGCCAGCAACCCUGGCUUUCACCUACAAGCCGCCGGGGCUGCUGCGGGGAGGGGAUGCCAGCCUAGGGCUACGGCUGGUGGAGCUGAGUGGCAAAGAGGGCCAGGAGACGCUGGUGAAAGAGGAAGUGGAGACUUUUCUGUGCUCCGAGGCCCUGGGUGAUAUCCUGCAGGUGGCUGUGAAGCUCAGUGGCUGGCGCUGGCGGGGGCGGCAGGCAUGGCGUCUGCACCCGCGGGCAGAGCUGGGUGCAGUGGUGGACACAGUGCUGGCGCUGCUGGAGAAGCUGGAGGAGGAGGAGAGUGUCCUGGUGGAGGCUGUGUACCCACCUGCCCAGCUGCCCUGCUCAGAUGGUCCUUCACCCGGCCCCGGCCUGGCCGUGCGAAUCUGUGCUGUGGUGUGUCGGACACAGGGUGAUAGGCCACUGCUGAGCAAGGUGGUGUGCGGCGUGGGCCGCGGGGACCGCCCCCUACGGCACCACAACUCCCUGCCGAGGACGCUGGAGGUGGCGCUGGCCCAGUGCGGCCUGGGCGAGGAGGCGCAGGUGGCGGCUGUGCGGCAGCGCGUCAAGGCGGCGGCCGAGGCCGCGCUGGCCGCCGUGCUGGCUCUGGAGGCCGGCCUGAGUGCCGAGCAGCGCGGCGGGCGCCGGGCGCACACGGACUUCCUGGGCGUGGAUUUCGCGCUGACAGCGGCCGGCGGCGUGCUGACCCCAGUGGCCCUGGAGCUGAACGGCGGCCUGUGCCUGGAGGCGUGCGGCGCGCUGGAGGGGCUGUGGGCCGCGCCGCGGCUGGGGCCGGCGGCCGACGAGGCGGUGGCGGCGCCGCUGGUGGAGACCAUGCUUCGGCGGUCGGCGCGCUGCCUCAUGGAGGGAAAGCAGCUGCUGGUGGUCGGCGCUGGCGGCGUCAGCAAGAAGUUCGUGUGGGAGGCGGCGCGCGACUACGGGCUCCAGCUGCACCUCGUGGAGUCAGACCCCAACCACUUUGCAUCCCAGUUGGUACAGACCUUCAUCCACUUUGACAUGACAGAGCACCGGAGGGAUGAGGAGAACGCACGGCUGCUGGCAGAGUUGGUGCGGGCUCGCGGCCUCAAGCUAGAUGGCUGCUUCUCCUAUUGGGAUGACUGCCUGGUGCUCACAGCCCUGCUCUGCCAGGAGCUAGGUCUGCCCUGCAGCUCCCCAGCUGCCAUGCGCCUGGCUAAGCAGAAGAGCCUCACCCAGCUGCACCUGUUGCGCCACCAUGGCCCACCCUGGCCUGCGCCCUCCCUCCAUGCUGUGCCCUGCUGCCCACUGGAGAGCGAGGCUGAUGUGGAGAGGGCCGUGCACCAGGUACCCCUGCCAGGUGUCAUGAAGCUGGAGUUCGGGGCAGGUGCAGUGGGUGUGCGGCUGGUAGAGGAUGCGCCACAGUGCCAUGAGCACUUUUCCCGGAUUACCCGAGACUUGCAGGGCGAGGCCGACCACCCAGGCAUUGGGCUGGGCUGGGGCAAUGCCAUGCUGCUGAUGGAGUUUGUGGAGGGCACCGAGCACGACGUGGACCUGGUGUUGUUUGGUGGGCGGCUGCUGGCUGCAUUUGUCUCCGACAAUGGCCCUACGAGGCUGCCUGGCUUCACUGAGACAGCAGCCUGCAUGCCCACCGGGCUGGCACCAGAGCAGGAGGCACAGAUGGUUCAGGCAGCCUUCCGCUGUUGCCUGGGCUGCGGGUUGCUCGAUGGAGUCUUCAACGUGGAGCUCAAGCUGACCGGGGCUGGGCCUCGGCUUAUCGAGAUCAACCCCCGCAUGGGUGGCUUCUACCUGCGUGAUUGGAUCCUGGAGCUCUAUGGUGUGGACCUGCUGCUGGCUGCUGUUAUGGUGGCCUGUGGCUUGCGUCCUGCCCUGCCCACCCGCCCACGUGCUCGUGGCCAUCUGGUGGGCGUCAUGUGCCUUGUGUCCCAGCACCUGCAGGCCCUGAGUUCCACCGCCAGCCGUGAGACCCUGCAGGCCCUGCACGACCGUGGACUGCUACGCCUCAAUCUGCUGGAGGAGGCCCUGGUGCCUGGCGAGUACGAGGAGCCCUACUGCAGUGUGGCCUGUGCCGGACCCAGCCCCACCGAGGCCCGUCUCCGCCUGCUGGGCCUCUGCCAGGGCCUGGGCAUCGAUGGGCCCAGCUACCCUGUUGCCCACUUCCUGUCUCACUUCAAAUAGCACUGGGGUCAGGGGGCAGGGAAGCAGUGCUGGGAGGAGGCACUGUGGUGCCCUCUGCUCCCUGGAGCUCUUCCUGUUUCUCUCCCUAUCACCAUGCCCCAGCCCCAGCCUGGCCCGCUGCAAUGCCUAGGUCUGUUCCAGAGCAGCAGGGCAAUUUAGACACCAAGGCAUCCUGGACUCAAGGGCCUCUUGCCCUCCCGAAGGCCCCAGUCCAGCCUACAGCUUCCCCAGCAUUCUAGUCUUGGAGAAAUGACAAUGGCCACACACACACACACACACACACACACACACACACACACACACACCUCUGACGCCAGCUCCCCAGGUGGGAGUGGGCCCAAACCCAGCCCCUCCUGUCCACCUCUCCAGGUCUCACUCUCUUCCUGCCAUCUACAAGAGGAGAGGACCUGGCUGGGCCCCAAGCCUUGGACAAAUCCUGGGAAAACCUGAGACUAGAACCCUUGUCUUCCUCUUACCCAAAUUCUAGGAUAGCUCUAGAGCCUGCUGGAAACUUGGUGGCAUCCAACCUGCCUCAUUUGGCCUGAGCGGUAGAGGCAGGUGGCCUGUGGACAGAAGUAAUCCUCUUUCUGCUCACCCCAGGCAGACACAACUGCCUAUGUUCCCCCGAUGAGAGGAAACAGGCUGAGAGAAGAAAAAUGACUGCUCCAGGAUUAUACCACAGUGGAGGGCGGGUCACAGGACAUGAUGCAGGGUCCAGGUUUCUGUUUUGAUCAAGUUUUACAUGCCCAUUCAGCUUCUAGGCCCCCCUCACCUCCCUGCCCUCAUUCACAAGUGGCCCUGAGACACGUGAACACCUCCCUCCUAUGCAUCACAAACCUUCUCCACCGAGCUUUGGUGCUUUGGCCUCUGGCACACCUAACUAGCAUUGGCAGAGGAGAGUCUACACUCUCUUCCUCAUUCAGGGAAGAUGCUUUAAGAAAUCCUGCCUCUGUGCAGCAGAGGAGCUGGAGGCAGCUCCCCAGGCAUCCCUCCCCAAAUAAAGGCUUAUGUACUGGUG
rnacentral:sRNA from 1 species